rnacentral:rRNA from 1 species
AGAGACAGCAGUCGCCACGGGAAUACAGAGGUUGCGAGCGUUAAUCGGAUUUACUGGGCGUAAAGCGUGCGUAGGCGGCUUUUUAAGUCGGAUGUGAAAUCCCUGAGCUUAACUUAGGAAUUGCAUUCGAUACUGGGAAGCUAGAGUAUGGGAGAGGAUGGUAGAAUUCCAGGUGUAGCGGUGAAAUGCGUAGAGAUCUGGAGGAAUACCGAUGGCGAAGGCAGCCAUCUGGCCUAAUACUGACGCUGAGGUACGAAAGCAUGGGGAGCAAACAGGAUUAGAUACCCCAGUAGUCCCUGUCUCUUAUAA